rnacentral:lncRNA from 1 species
ACGUCGAACGAGGGUGAACCUCGACCUGAUGACACCCUAGAGUAUUACCCGUCCGCGGCAGUCCGCUCGGCGCGAUGGGAACGGAGCUAUCGUGAGUCCUCAGGGUCCGCCCGGUCGCGCUUGCACCGGGCUCGCCAGGUGCAUCGUCCUAUCCCCUCCGUUGGAGGCACGUGACCGCCUCCACGCAACGAUCCUCUGGAGCCGUCCGCUGCUACCCUGUACCGGAUGGUACAACUCGCGCGCACUAUGGCCGGGACGGUCUACACCACGACGCGACAUUGUCGGGCAACGCGGACAUUUCUCCCGAUUUGGAUUCGCCUGUGGACCCCGUUUGCCUGGCCGGAUCCCUCUCUUCCUCUACCUUCCUCGAUAUCCCCGACGACGAUGUCGUCGCGACCGCAACUGGUAUCGCGAGGCCGACCGAGGUAAAUUUUUCCGCGCGUUCCGCUUAACAAAACGGACUCAGAGACACGUCCGCGGUCCGACCGCUGGUUCCGUUCCGCCCGUCAAACUUCCCGCGUUCGCUCGCCGCUGCAGCAUCAGGUCAGGGUGAGAACGACGGUGGGUUUCUCACCCUCGGCCCUGCGGGUCCCAGGACGCGUGCGACCGGCAGCAGCACCGUGACAACAUCCCUGAUCUCCCUUACGAUGCUAGGAGACGCGCGUCGCGUGUCGGCACGGGCUACCCUUUCUGAUCUCGGUCGCGGGAUUAUUCUCUGUAUCACUCUCUUUUUCUCUCUCUCUCUCUCUCUCUCUCGCUCUCUCUCUCUCUCUCUCUUCCGGCAAGGAGUUGCCGGAUGCGGUCUCGCCGGCGAUCAACGCUGGACUGAUUCUCGUUCAGCUGCAGCGCCGCGCGGUACCGCCGCUUCAGACCGCUUUGGCGCUAGCUCUCUGUGGUAGCCUACCGCCACCGUUCACCACCUCCGCACCCUCCAUCGCUCGUGAUGUCACCGUCCUUCCUCUUUUUCUUUCUCUCUCUCUACCUCGUUUCCCUCUCCGUCCGGCUCAACAUAUACACCUGCCAGUUGCCGCGCGCGUCUCGGUCCCUCUUUUCCUCCUCCUCUCCACUCUGCACCCCUAUCGUCGUUCUACCUCGAUCACCAGCGCUGUCCGUCUCUUGCAGCCCUUUAACUCCCUCUCGCUUCCUCCUUUCCUCUUUCUCUCUUCCUCUGUAGCUCGCUCUUGUUCUCGUCAUACAUAUACCUUCAUCCCCUCCGACUCCCUUCCUCAACAAUCCCUUUUCUCUUCAUCCAACAGCGGCUCCGCUACGCGCUCUCGCUUGCAUUCAACCCUCGACGGCCCACAUUCGCGCCAUCGUGGGGUGGCGUGGUACACCAUGCGGUACGACCUACCCCCGCCAUCCCGCUUACGCUCUUGCCCGACCCCUCCUGCACGACUCCUCGCUCUCUGGCAUCCCUCUUCCACCCGCAGCUAUAGUGCAUCCCAACAUCGCCGGAGAAGAGAGAAUCGUUACUAUGGCGAGAUCAAUAUGAUAGGACGGCGCAUGCCUCGGUAUCCUUAUACUUGAACCCUUCGCCGCCACUCGCUCUGCCGCGUCUCUCUCGCAGUUCCGCUCGCUCCGUCGUCGUCGCACCUCGUUUUACAAGCUCGUCUCCUCGCAUUCCACACUUCGCCACCGUCUUCGUCACUCGCGCCACGUUCCCCCGACAGCGUCCUCUCCAUCAUCCCCUCGCACGUACAUCCCUCUCCGUGUUGGCGCGCGUUAGAGGCCGCGUGCCAGACCGUGGGCGGCGUUGACUUAAGUCGGUUCAGUCAACAGAGGGCCGCAUACGAGAGAAGAAUAUCGUCCGGUCUUUCCGGUUACGGAUCGACCUCUCCGAAAUGUUCUCCCUUUCUUCUUUGAAUGAAAUACAAGUAGCGCCAGGGUGAAAGCAACAAACGCCUGCCGGCUGAGUAAGAUAGACUCGUUCAGAGUCGUAAUCAUCAACAUCCUGAUGAUCGAGGUAAAACAAGGGAUGCAUCCGGACUUAUGUCUCAGUAGCUAAUGCGUAUAUGCGUAUCACAUAAAUAAUUGGCAGAGGUAGUGUUUCAAGAGAAUGAUCCAGUUGACACUUUUCGAAUGCAAAACAGAUGGAACUGACGCGUUCAGGAAGACAGCACGAUAUGUACGUGGCUCUGCCCGAGAUUAUGCGAUACGCAGUUAAUUGUGCGAUGCAGCAUGUCUGCGUCACGGAGCGCGCCAAAACGAUAUCGCAAAUAAGACAGCACUAUCUCAUCGACCUUAAUACGAUGAAGUUUCUUCCGAUGUCGAUGUGACGUAUACAGUUAUACUAUGUAUUCAAUAUCGAGAGAACAUUACACGGUAAAUCUAAUUCCCUUAAAUAAGGAAUACUUCGAGGACAGAAGAAACAGAAAAACGCAAUCGUCGUGCGAGCGUUCCGCACAAAAGGAGCAGAGAGCUUACGUACCGCCGCAAACCACGUAACGUUCCAAUCUUUGCCGGUGAUUUUUAUGAAGCAAAAGAUUAAAGAAGAAGGCAAACAAAAUUGUAAACGAUACUUGGAACGAUUCUUUAUCGCUCAAACAAGAAGAUUGGAGAAUUAUACGAAAUUUAUAGGGAACAGCGAAAACAUUUAUUAUGCGAUGCGAUACGUGUUAGCAUUUAUCAACGAGGUAAUGGAGCGGAAACGAGUAUUUUUGACACCACACUCGUCGUUUAGCACGUGCCAGCCAUAUCGAAAACGAUCUCACCUUACCUCGUAAGUGUACGAGAGGUGUAGCAACUUGGAAAACUUGCAUUGUUCGUUAGCGCGCGAAAUCUGAUCGCGCUUCGUAAUUGUACCGAAGUUAUAGUUUGUCGUUGACAAAGGGUCGUCUCUGCCGAAAAGUUUGUCGUUGACAUAUUCUCCCUAUUAUAUUGCAUUUAAAAAAUGCAGUUAUUAACAAGUAUAAAUAUGCAGAUAUUAACAAGUCUAAACUUUUGGAAAUUGUUAUGCGUGGACAAGAUCUUCAUUUUCUCUGUUUAUUUAACGUUUUUCUCAGUGGCUUCAGAGUUACCGCAUUUUAAGAAUAAAAGCGGGUUAAAAGGAAUCCCAACAGAGAGCAAAUGUUAAUCCCACAAGAUUAAAACAUCCUUAGUUUUACAAUAUAUAUAUAAUAUAAUAUAAUAAGACUACAAAAAUAUAAGUGCGAACGUUUUUUCCUUAGCUUUGGUAUUAAUCUUCGGCAUAAGCAUUUCGAAAAGAAUAUCAGGACAUCGCUAUACGUUACUAAUAAUUCUAAAACAACGCUGAGACUAAUAAAAGACUAAUAAAGA